UAUCAUUAACUCACACACAUAAUCUGCACAUACAUUUAUACUGACUCUACAAACACCCACUCACAUACAAUCAUCAUAUACGCUGCUGCUACUCUGUUUAUCAUGUAUCCUGUGGCCUAGUCACCUUAACCCUAUACAUAUCUACCUCUAUCGAUACAGUAUCCUUACACAUUGUAAAUAUGGUAUAGGAACUGACCCUUGUACAUAGUAUGCUUAUUUACUUUGUGUUCUUGUUUUUACAUCUUGAAUGUUUUUAUCCUACCUUGUUAUUUGUAGUAUUCCAUUGUUAUUGAUUACAGCAUUGUUGGGUUAGAGCUGGCAAGAAAGGCAUUUCACUGCACUUGUGCAUUGGACAUUAAAACUUGAAACUUGGUCAGUCAUGGAAAGAGCAGGUGUCCCUAAUGUUUUAUACACUCAGUGUGCUGUAUGUCUAUCACAAGCCAAAACAAUACCCGACCACAUGCAGAAAACACACAUCUCAGACUGCAGGAAAUAUGUGGUUUAUUGGGAACAACAUGAUCCCAGCUAGCUUAUUGUGAAUACAUACUUAGCAGUAAACAAUGGUAACGCAUUUCCUUUCACCUUUUUAAGUGCCACAGGCUGAGGAUUCUAUUUACAAUGCUACAACCAUGGUGUCAUGUAGGCUACAAUCAUUUAAACAGCAUUACAGUAGGGGAUCUGAGAAAACCAUCACACAUCUUUCAAUUAUGAACAGGUUAAUGACUAAUUAUCUAAAAGGUCUGGACAAGACUACAGUACUGAAAACAAUGUUUUUAUAUGUGUCUAUGUGCAUAUCCAUUGAGGGUUUAUCACGAGUAGGGGGGGGGGAUUCACAACUAAUGUUAUUAUAGAAAAAUAAUAGUGCCCGUGGUUAAGAUGAUAUAAUCUAGCAGGUAAAAAGCACAAGAUGUGGAGACUGUUUUCUGCCACUACAUACACUUGAGAAGGAAUUCAUAACUAUGUUAACAAUCACCAUACAUACAUAUCAUUAAAGCACGGGUGACCAUAUAUACAGUUGGGUGCCACAGUAUCUACUGAAACAUUAUGAACAACACCAAGCAGGCUAAUAUUUACUGUGCCCCAAAUGAUAUCCUAUUUCCUACAUGGGGCACUACUAUUUACUGGAGCCCCACAGGCCCGAGUCAAAAGUAAUGCACUAUAAAGGGGAUAGGCUGCCGUUUGGGACACAUCUUUACAACAACCCUUCCACAGAAAUCCUGCAAAAUCUGACUCUGACACUCUUUCAAAGGAGUGAAAGUGAAUUGGCCUGUGUUUAUCUCUUCAUGCUACAUCUUCACAUCCUAUUAACACAAUGUUACUUACAGGUUCACUUUGGUUUACAGCUUUCUAUAACGAUACUGUAUCUGUGUGGCAGUUUGAAGCUGUGAGUUAAGUUAAAUCAGGACUAUACAGUAUAGCAGCGAUAAGCCAAAAUUAACACGUCUUACACAGAAAGUCACUAUUCAAUGUUACGUUCGAUACAAUAGCAGCCCCAAAUAGUGUAUUGUUCCAUUAAUAAAACUAAAGAUACCAUUUCUCUAGACACUUGAGUGUCUCCAUGAUCUUAACUUGUUGUCCCAUCUAUGAUUUAAAUAUCUGUGUUCUGGUACCUCUCAAUAAAUACAAAUCAGAAGUUGGUAUAUGUAUCAUUUGUCCUAUUCUGAUAUACAGUAGAUAUGGGUAUACAUAGUGAAUAUUCAUUCUGGGAAAACUUCAGAUUCAUUUUUUUUUUUUUGCAUUGAUGUAAGAAGACAUUAAAGAAGAAUGAGAUUAGUUUUUGAUUUUUUGUUUAAAAAAAAGUGACAGUCUACACAUGACAGUCUACACAUGACAGUCUACACAUGACAGUCUACACGGAAUUUAGAUGGUUCAACAACAUGCUCUUUACACUUAUCUACAUAAACAUACGGUGUGUGUGUGUGUGUGUGUGUGUGUGAAAGAGAGAGCAAGAGAGUACAUAUGGAUAGUAAGGGCUAUAUUCAAUCCAGAUCUCCAGAGUUCAGCGCGAAAGCCCAACUGAAAUGUAAAGGUAAUGUUCUCUCGUUGGAGGAGACUGCAUUCACGGUAAACACUGUAUAUGUCGGCUCAAUCAGAAAUGACCUUCACGUUUCUGCCACGCCAUCUGUAGCGCUUCAGCGGCACGGUUUGAGUAGAACCCUAAGCUUUUCCGAAACGCUAGACAAACACAUAAAACAUUGUUGGAAAUGAUUGUUUACUCUGAAGAGAUGUUGCUCUCUGUGCCAGCCGGUGCCAACCUCGCAAAGGGUGCUCAAAUAUCUCAGUUUACUGGGAAUACAAUGGACACCACUUCACUCCAACACAGUACAGAGUCCAACAGGGAUUCUUCUUGCCGUGAGAGUUUGAUACGGUUCGAGAUACUGUGAGAGGUGCACACUGGGAUUUACUGUGUCUCCAACAUGGUCGUCCUAAAUGUGGAAUCAACCAUUAACGUGGCCUGUGGGGAGGGUCUCUUUGUCCCCUAGCUAAGAGCCCAGCAACAGUAGCAGCUGGAGGACACAUGUUCUAGGAGAAUUGGCGGUUUGGUUCAGUCCCCUUACAGCAGUGGCUUGGCUUGGGUGAGGCCAUGAGUUCUGGUCAGACAUACUGUACAGGCAAGAGGGGGAGAGAGAAACCAAGAGAGAUAGAGAGAAAUAUAAAGAGUACUACAAUGAGAGGCAGUCAGAGACAUCCAAAAUGCUGAUACAGUGAGUGAGGCCAAACUGAUCCAUGCCUUUCUGGGAGUGUCAGUUCUUCCUGCAGAUGAGAGGGAGGCUCACUGUCCCUCUUAUGUUUGUCCCCAAGCAUUGUAUGUUCCUAAAACUCCUUGUUCUCUUUCUCUGUACCCACAUUGACUUUCUCUCUUCUCUUGCUCCCUCUUUUUUAUUUCUCACACGUUCUCUUUCUUUCUCUCUAUUUACCUCUCUCCCUCUAUCCCUCUCGGAUCUCGACUAAGCCAGAAACCCAGCUAGGUGGGAUAAUAUUUUUUCACUUUCUGUCAGUAACAUCUGAUUAUUAUUAUUAUCUGACCAUGCUGGUCAUCUAUGAACAUUUGAACAUCUUGGCCAUGUUCUGUUAUAAUCUCCACCCGGCACAGCCAGAAGAGGACUGGCCACCCCUCAUAGCCUGGGUCCUCUCUAGGUUUCUUCCUAGGUUUCUGCCUUUCUAGGGAGUUUAUCUCAGCCACCGUGCUUCUACAUCUGCAUUGCUUGCUGUUUGGGGUUUUAGGCUGGGUUUCUGUAGAGCACUUUGUGACAUCGGCUGAUGUAAAAAGGGCUUUAUAAAUACAUUUGAUUGAUUGAUUUGAUUGAUAAAACAGAGGUUUGGCUGCCAAAAGCUCUAACUAACCUGCUUUUCACUCCUUCAAUGCCUCCCUCUAUCCUCUCUACAAUGCCUCCCUCUAUCCUCUCUACAAUGCCUCCCUCUAUCCUCUCUACAAUGCCUCCCUCUAUCCUCUCUACAAUGCCUCCCUCUAUCCUCUCUUCAAUGCCUCCCUCUAUCCUCUCUACAAUGUCUCCCUCUAUCCUCUCUACAAUGCCUCCCUCUAUCCUCUCCACAAUGCCUCCCUCUAUCCUCUCUACAAUGCCUCCCUCUAUCCUCUCUACAAUGCCUCCCUCUAUCCUCUCUACAAUGCCUCCCUCUAUCCUCUCUACAAUGCCUCCCUCUAUCCUCUCUACAAUGCCUCCCUCUAUCCUCUCUUCAAUGCCUCCCUCUAUCCUCUCUUCAAUGCCUCCCUCUAUCCUCUCUACCAUGCCUCCCUCUAUCCUCUCUUCAAUGCCUCCCUCUAUCCUCUCUUCAAUGCCUCCCUCUAUCCUCUCUACCAUGCCUCCCUCUAUCCUCUCUACAAUGCCUCCCUCUAUCCUCUCUACCAUGCCUCCCUCUAUCCUCUCUACAAUGCCUCCCUCUAUCCUCUCUACAAUGCCUCCCUCUAUCCUCUCUACAAUGCCUCCCUCUAUCCUCUCUACAAUGCCUCCCUCUAUCCUCUCUACCAUGCCUCCCUCUAUCCUCUCUACCAUGCCUCCCUCUAUCCUCUCUACCAUGCCUCCCUCUAUCCUCUCUACCAUGCCUCCCUCUAUCCUCUCUACAAUGCCUCCCUCUAUCCUCUCUACCAUGCCUCCCUCUAUCCUCUCUACAAUGCCUCCCUCUAUCCUCUCUACAAUGCCUCCCUCUAUCCUCUCUUCAAUGCCUCCCUCUAUCCUCUCUUCAAUGCCUCCUCUAUCCUCUCUACAAUGCCUCCCUCUAUCCUCUCUACAAUGCCUCCCUCUAUCCUCUCUACAAUGCCUCCCUCUAUCCUCUCUACAAUGCCUCCCUCUAUCCUCUCUACAAUGCCUCCCUCUAUCCUCUCUACAAUGCCUCCCUCUAUCCUCUCUACCAUGCCUCCCUCUAUCCUCUCUACAAUGCCUCC
ensembl:lncRNA